rnacentral:rRNA from 1 species
UACGAGGGGGGCAAGCGUUGUUCGGAAUUACUGGGCGUAAAGGGCUCGUAGGCGGCCAACUAAGUCAGACGUGAAAUCCCUCGGCUUAACCGGGGAACUGCGUCUGAUACUGGAUGGCUUGAGGUUGGGAGAGGGAUGCGGAAUUCCAGGUGUAGCGGUGAAAUGCGUAGAUAUCUGGAGGAACACCGGUGGCGAAGGCGGCAUCCUGGACCGGCAUUGACGCUGAGGCGCGAAAGCCAGGGGAGCAAACGGG